UAAGCCCUGCUGCUUCACGAAGCCUUAAGUUCCACUUGGGGUACGUUUCAUUCUUGUGAAACAUAGUGACAGCGGGGUUAC
rnacentral:sRNA from 12 species